GGACUAACAGGGUGCCGUUCAGACAAGGUGAGAGCUAUCAAUUUUUAGGUGUCAGGAAGCAACGCAGGGAGCCCAGGAUAGAGAUUUGCAGCAUGGUGCCAUAUAGAAAAUGAGUUCAACGUCCUGAGAAUAGCAUGAAUAGAUCCCCUGUCAGAUGCAGCAGUGAAGGUGACCCAGUGCGAGGCCAGUCAGACAUCAAAGGGUGCCAGCUGUUUUCUCAAACUGAGGGGGGGUGGAGGGGGUCUGGAGGAGAGGAACGAGUAGGGCUGAAGAGGAAGAUUGAGAUGACACGUUGGAUCUCCAGGAGUGUCACUUUGUGUAAUAGGCGAGUGGCGGGUAUUCAUCUGCCUGGAGAAAGAGAGAGGGAGAAUACUCUACAUGGACUUCAAUGAGACUUCAGUAAUUACUUAUUACUGCACAUAUGGAUGAGAUGGGCGAUGAGAGGACUUGAGGCGUGCGCAGCUCUUCCUCCAUCUGAAAACCACCUCCGGGGUGACUUCAAGAACAUCCCUAUAAUGCUCCAAGACAAAAGUCUCAUUACAGGAGAAGCAGACUGGGAGAGGGAAGCAGGGACGGAGCGGAGGUGGGGGGUGGGGGGGGGGGGGACAGGGCUAUUACCUGGGAGCAGACACUGAUCAUGGCCGCUGACGCUUUACUGCACUUCCAUUCAUGUGGAGUGGCUCACUUGUGGGCAGCAAUUACCGACCAAAUGAUCCAAACUGGGCCUUGUGAUGAAGUAGCUGGACUGACUUAGUGACUAUAGCUGCACUAUUCUUCUUUGCUUGUGUGCACAGUAUCGUCCUAUAUGCUUUUAAACAAAGUAGAACUGCUGGGUGAGUGUAUGUGUAAGCACUGUGUACGUGUGUGCAUACUUUGCAUGGACUAGGAAUCGUCUGAUAAGUGAUAAGCAAUUAAACCUACAAUCCGCUGUUGUUUUUUUUAACAGUAUCAUGUAAUACAAGGGAUGGGAUUUAUUUGGAAAAGAAUAUUUAGGGAAAGCAACAAGAGAACUCAAAUGAAGAACAGAAUAAGGACAGGCAACUAAAACACCUGGUUAAAUUAGGCGAACAUUAACUGAAGUUCUGUGACGGGACGUAAACUCUCGUCUCCUACAAGAAUGUCACACACACCAGGCUGUUCGCAUACACCGUUUGUAGCGGUGGAAGCUAGUCAAUAGAGGCAGAGGACAUUGCUGCUCCUAUUUUUGAGAGGCAAGAGGGAGAUCAAAAUAUUAAGCAAUAUUAAGAAUAAUAUUAUUAAGAAUAUUAAGAAAUAUUACCCUGACAAUCACUGCAUGCAGAAAUUUAAAAAAGACAUAAAGACCUUGGCAGAUUUGUCAUUGAUCAUAUCUUUAAAGACAUUAUUAUGGGAAAAUGUGGUGAUUGGUUUGAUACAAAAAAUAUAUAUAUAUAUUCUUGUAAUAAAUCUGAUAUGUUUUCUCUUUAAUCUUUUAUUAAUUAAUAUCAUUUUAACAAUAAAUACCUUAUUUUGUUGUUUUCUUGAAGGAUUUUGAGUGAAACCACUUUCUAAUUUGACUAAGAAAAAGACUAUUAAGACUAAGGUUUUAAUA